rnacentral:rRNA from 1 species
CCUACGGGUGGCAGCAGUGGGGAAUAUUGGGCAAUGGGCGCAAGCCUGACCCAGCAACGCCGCGUGAAGGAAGAAGGCUUUCGGGUUGUAAACUUCUUUUCUGAGGGACGAAGAAAGUGACGGUACCUCAGGAAUAAGCCACGGCUAACUACGUGCCAGCAGCCGCGGUAAGACGUAGGGGGCAAGCGUUAUCAGGAUUUAUUGGGUGUAAAGGGCGGGUAGGCGGCAAAGCAAGUCAGAUGUGAAAACUCAGGGCUCAACCCUGAGCCUGCAUUUGAAACUGUUUUUCUUGGGUGCUGUAGAGGCAAUCGGAAUUCCGUGUGUAGCGGUGAAAUGCGUAGAUAUACGGAGGAACACCAGUGGCGAAGGCGGAUUGCUGGACAGUAACUGACGCUGAGGCGCGAAAGCGUGGGGAGCAAACAGGAUUAGAUACCCGAGUAGUC